UACGGGGGGGGCAAGCGUUGUUCGGAAUUACUGGGCGUAAAGGGCUCGUAGGCGGCCAACUAAGUCAGACGUGAAAUCCCCAGGCUCAACCUGGGAACUGCGUCUGAUACUGGAUGGCUUGAAUUCGGGAGAGGGAUGCAGAAUUCCAGGUGUAGCGGUGAAAUGCGCAGAUAUCAGGAGGAACACCGGUGGCGAAGGCGGGACUCUGGGCCGAUACUGACGCUGAGGAGCGAAAGCGUGGGGAGCGAACAGG
rnacentral:rRNA from 1 species